rnacentral:tRNA from 1 species
GGGGACACAGCUCAGAGGUAAAGCAUGUGCCUGGCAUGCACAAGGUCCUGGGUCCAAUUCCCAGUACCCACU